rnacentral:rRNA from 1 species
GACGAACGCUGGCGGCGUGCCUAAUACAUGCAAGUCGAGCGCAGGAAGCCGUUCCGAACCCUUCGGGGGGACGACGGUGGAAUGAGCGGCGGACGGGUGAGUAACACGUAAAGAACCUGCCCAUAGGUCUGGGAUAACCACGAGAAAUCGGGGCUAAUACCGGAUGUGUCAUCGGACAGCAUGGUCCGCUGAUGAAAGGCGCUCCGGCGGCGCCCAUGGAUGGCUUUGCGGUGCAUUAGCUAGUGGGUGGGGUAACGGCCCACCAAGGCGACGAUGCAUAGCCGACCUGAGAGGGUGAUCGGCCACACUGGGACUGAGACACGGCCCAGACUCCUACGGGAGGCAGCAGUAGGGAAUCUUCCACAAUGGACGAAAGUCUGAUGGAGCAACGCCGCGUGUACGAUGAAGGCUUUCGGGUCGUAAAGUUCUGUUGUAAGGGAAGAACAAGUGCCGCAGGCAAUGGCGGCACCUUGACGGUACCUUGCGAGAAAGCCACGGCUAACUACGUGCCAGCCGCCGCGGUAACAC